AAUCCUCUAACAGGCGAAAGCAGAGGCGAAGGCGCCCGUCUGCAGCAACGGGCGCCUUCGUGAGUGGUGGCGGAGCUUGUGCUGGCACUGGCGGCGGAGGCUGUGGUGGCGGUGGCGGCGGUGGUGGUGGUGGUGGCUGCGGAGGAGGCGGCGGCGGCGGAGGCUGCUAAAUACUCUGUAUGAGAAAUAGAUAUGAAUGUUUGUAAAUAUGCAUAAUCUCAAACUUCCUCAAAUAAUACGUACAAUUUGUUUGUUUUUUUUACAGUCAAGGAUUGAGCUGGCCACGAUCUUAGCACUGUUUUGGAACUAGUAAGUAGAAUCUCGUAGAAUCUAUUCAGCAAUUCUAUGUACUUCAGGUACUAUAGUGAUUCAUGUAAAAUCCAAAAAAAAGGGAAACAUCUACAAU
rnacentral:lncRNA from 1 species